CGGCGACGCAUUUUUUUUUCUCCUGUUGUCGGCGCCGCCCACCGUCUCCCUCCUCAAACAAAGAAAAAACGAAACUCCAUCGCGCGCAUCCCUCCUCCCUCUCACAUCGGCACACAUACACACACAAAGAGAGAGCAAGCAGGAAUGAGCAUCGAGAAGAUGUUUGGAACGUUCUGUGCAAUGAGUGCUCUUCAGCAGCGGCGUGACGGCCUGCUCGUCCCGUCUGAGACAUCGCACAGUUUUUCCUACUACCAAUGGCUGGAGGUGGCGAAGGCAAAGUAUGCGGACAGUCAGCCACGAGCCUGUUCCUCCCCAGGGCAACAGCGGCCGCCAGCAAAGAGGGCCAAGACGGAAGACGGCGUCAGCGACUCUGGCAGCGCGCUCGCCGACGGGCUCGCACAGCAGCUUGUCGCUUCUCUCAAGAGCCAGACGGAGUUUGCCAACUCACCGGCCGCUCUCCGUCAUGCUGCCCAGGAGGAGUUUCCCAUGCCGCAGGCUUCGGCGGACAUGCCGGCGUUUCUUGCACUGGCCGAGGCAUCCAUUCGCCUGACACUCUGGACACCCGAAGACGAACGGCUGGCACAGCUGGCGGCUCGCCUCCGUCCUAACCUGCGCACGCUAGAGGAACGGGGUAUAAUUCGCUUCUACUACGGCUGCUUUCCGUCUCUUCAGGUGCUCAUGGACCUGCUUUCGUGGCGCAUCAUUGUCCAUCGAUGGGAGCGCCUCACACCCGAGAUGCGGCAGGUCGCAGUGGACGGCGUGCUGACGCUGUGCGGCUGCUUGGAUAGCGUGGCAACGGAGGCGUUGCGCGCUGCUGUGCAGGAGCUUCCUGUGUCUGCAGCUUCCUCUUCCUCCGCAGACACGCUUGAGCUGAGAACGCUCGACACACUAGUUAGACACGUGAGUGCCGCUGUGCCGUUUCAGUUUGCGACCUGCCGUGACCUUGCGCCACUGUACCCGGAGCCGGCCGGGCUGUUACACGUGCCUGGAGCACCGGCGGCUUCCAGUGAGAGUGUGCUGAGGGACGAGCAGCAGUCAAGACCCGCAGAUGAGAAACGAUUUGACUAUGAUGCGGAGGUGCAGGUCGGCGAGCGGCUAGGUGUAACAUGCACUCCGACCCUCACCGUGCACGCAUCGGUCGAAGAAGAGUCGCCAGCCCGCCGCACGCAAGCAGCACCGGUAGCGGCGCUGCCGUCCCGCCCUAUUCUCAAGGCCGCACGGCGCACCAGCGGCGGCUUACGCCCCUCCGCUGGCGUCACUCAGAUCCGCCACGGGAUUCCGACGAGAACGGCAAGUGGGCAUAUAGCUUGCAUGUCGCAGUACCACGCGCGCUACGCUGACCCGGCGAAACACGCCAGCUCUGAGUGUCCUUACUGUGCCACUUGCCACCUAAUGGAGAUCAUUUUCCGUGGCAACAAGCGCAGCUGUUUGUGGGGCCACUGGCCGACUCCACGGAAGAUUAGGCUUCACCUGAAGCAGUUCCCGAAAGUGAUGAAGCUCGCACAGGAGCGUUUUGCCGCGAUACAGCGUGGCGUGCAUCUGGCGGCGACGGACGAGGUUCCACUUUGAGCCGUGCCCUUGCUCUCCCCUUUUACUAUAGGUGCUGGGUUGCUUGCUUUCGCCGAUUAGAUGGCUGCGAUACAAUGCAGCGUGCCCCACACACCUACGCAGACG
rnacentral:misc_RNA from 1 species